rnacentral:rRNA from 1 species
CCUACGGGUGGCAGCAGUAGGGAAUCUUUCACAAUGGGCGAAAGCCUGAUGGCGCAACGCCGCGUGCAGGAUGAAGGCCUUCGGGUUGUAAACUGCUUUUAUAAGCGAGAAAUAUGAUGGUAACUUAUGAAUAAGGCUCGGCUAACUACGUGCCAGCAGCCGCGGUCAUACAUAGUAACCGAGCAUUAUCCGGAGUGACUGGGUGUAAAGAGUUGCGUAGUGGGCAUAAUAAGUAGCUAGUGAAAUCUGGUGGCGCAACCAUUCAGAAUAUUAGCUAAACUGUUACGCUCGAGACCGUUAGGGGUAACUGGAAUUUCUAGUGUAGGAGUGAAAUCCGUAGAUAUUAGAAGGAACACCAAUAGCGUAGGCAGGUUGCUGGGACGGUUCUGACACUAAGGCACGAAAGCGUAGGGAGCAAACGGGAUUAGAUACCCCAGUAGUC